GAUGAGCGCUGGCGGCGUGCUUAACACAUGCAAGUCGAACGGUGAAAGCGGAGCUUGCUCUGCUGGAUCAGUGGCGAACGGGUGAGUAACACGUGAGCAAUCUGCCCCUGACUCUGGGAUAAGCGCUGGAAACGGCGUCUAAUACCGGAUACGAGCUGCGAAGGCAUCUUCAGCAGCUGGAAAGAACUUCGGUCAGGGAUGAGCUCGCGGCCUAUCAGCUAGUUGGUGAGGUAACGGCUCACCAAAGUGUCGACGGGUAGCCGGCCUGAGAGGGUGGCGGGCGACACUGGGAAUGAACCACGGCACAGACUCCUACGGGAGGCAGCAGUGGGGAAUAGUGCACAAUGGGCGAAAGCCGGAUGCAGCAACGCCGCGUGAGGGACGACGGCCUUCGGGUUGUAAACCUCUUUUAGCAGGGAAGAAGCGAAAGUGACGGUACCUGCAGAAAAAGCGCCGGCUAACUACGUGCCAGCAGCCGCCGUAA
rnacentral:rRNA from 1 species